rnacentral:rRNA from 1 species
UACGUAGGGUGCAAGCGUUAAUCGGAAUUACUGGGCGUAAAGCGUGCGCAGGCGGUUAUAUAAGACAGUUGUGAAAUCCCCGGGCUCAACCUGGGAACUGCAUCUGUGACUGUAUAGCUAGAGUACGGUAGAGGGGGAUGGAAUUCCGCGUGUAGCAGUGAAAUGCGUAGAUAUGCGGAGGAACACCGAUGGCGAAGGCAAUCCCCUGGACCUGUACUGACGCUCAUGCGACCGAAAGCGUGGGGAGCAAACAGG